GACAGAGGGGGCAAGCGUUGUCCGGAAUUACUGGGCGUAAAGAGCACGUAGGUGGCUUGUUGCGUCGGUGCUGAAAACGCCGGGCUUAACCCGGCGAGGCGUGCCGAUACGAGCAGGCUCGAGGCAGGGAGAGGGUGGCGGAAUUCCGGGUGUAGUGGUGAAAUGCGUAGAGAUCCGGAGGAACGCCAGUGACGAAGGUGGCCACCUGGCCCUCGCCUGACACUGAGGUGCGAUAGCGUGGGGAGCGAACCGG
rnacentral:rRNA from 1 species